rnacentral:misc_RNA from 1 species
GAUGAAGAACGCAGCGAAAUGCGAUAAGUAGUGUGAAUUGCAGAAUUCAGUGAAUCAUCGAAUCUUUGAACGCACAUUGCGCCUCCCGGCAUUCCGGGAGGCAUGCCUGUUCGAGCGUCAUCAAAACCACUCAAGCUUUGUGUUUUACUCAUGGCUUGGUAUUGGAGCUGGAGUGGACAUGAGCCAUUCCUAUCCGAAUUCCAGUGGCAAAGUUGUCUUCACCGAUAGGCGUAGUGAUCAACAUUAUGUUUCGCUUUGGCUUAGACAAUCUUCCGCCGUUAACCACCCCCAUCCAAAAUUUAAGUGUUUGACCUCGGAUCAGGUAGGGAUACCCGCUGAACUUAAGCAUAUCAAUAAGCGGAGGA